AAAGAAAAUAACAAUGAUUCCCUCAGUAACGGCGAGCGAAGAGGGAUAAGCUCAAAUUUUAAAUCUGUUGGGUUCCGCUUAACAGAGUUGUAUUUUGAAGAAACGUUUUCUGCAUCCAGGAUUAGCCUAAAUCCUUUGGGAUAAGGUAUCAUGGAGGGUGAGAAUCCCGUUCAUGGUUAAUCUAAAGGAAGCUCUAUGAUACGUUUUCCAAGAGUCGAGUUGUUUGGGAUUGCAGCUCAAAAUGGGAGGUAAAUUUCUCCUAAGGCUAAAUAUUGGCGAGAGACCGAUAGCGAACAAGUACCGUGAGGGAAAGAUGAAAAGAACUUUGAAAAGAGAGUUAAACAGUACGUGAAAUUGUUGAAAGGGAAACGAUUGAAGUCAGUCAUACCAACGGGAAAUCAACCUUUUGAGCUUGUUCUCGUGGGUUUUGAAGAGUUUCAAAGCCUUCGGACUCGCGGGAUUGGGAUCUCUUGGUGUACUUUUUCGAACGGUUAGUCAACAUCGGUUUUGAAUGUCAUAAAAUGACUGGAGGAAUGUAGCUUCGAUCUCGUAUUGAAGUGUUAUAGCCUUUGGUAGAUGUGAUAUUUGAGACCGAGGAUUGCAACGGAUACCCUUCAGGGCUAUUCGUCUGAUCUCUGAUACGUUGCCUUGAUGUUGAAAGCUUGCUUAUGAUGUUAGGGUAUUACGGUCAAAAGGUUAGAACGAAUUACAUUCGUUAAGGAUGUUGACGUAAUGACUUUAAACGACC
rnacentral:rRNA from 1 species